UGUGUCAUAAACGGGCUGAAAAACAAAUAUAUAUAGUGAUUAAAUUUGGAAUUGAGUAAUUAGGUUUAUUGGUGCAGUUUCUGCGAAAUAUUAGUGUCGAUGCCGCUUUAAUAUUUGUGAAUAAUGGAAGAAUGAUAUUUCGGCAUUUGAGAAUAUAGAUGAUAAUGUGACAAGUGGACACUCCUUCACAGAAUAUGUAAACAUUUAAAGAACGAGGAAAAUGUUCAAAAUGGCAAGCACAACAAGAAUUUUGGCAUUCCUACUUAUAGUUUUGACUACCCUGACAAGAACGUCGAUAGCUAAAAAUGAAGAAUCACAAUCACUAUCAUCAUCAACAACAACAACAACGACAAUUCCAAUA